GACGAACCGAGCGAACGUUGUUCGGAAUCACUGGGCUUAAAGGGCGCGUAGGCGGGUGCUCAAGUCCGUGGUGAAAUCCUCCGGCUCAACCGGAGAACUGCCUCGGAUACUGGGUGCCUCGGGGGUGGUAGGGGUAUGCGGAACUAUCGGUGGAGCGGUGAAAUGCGUUGAUAUCGAUAGGAACUCCGGUGGCGAAGGCGGCAUACUGGACCACCUCUGACGCUGAGGCGCGAAAGCCAGGGGAGCAAACGGG
rnacentral:rRNA from 1 species